UCUUUCUCAGGCCAACGGCUGCCAUGAGCGUAGCAACAGACUCAGCACUGUGGCUGGUACCAAGCCUUGGAAGACCAGGCGCCACCGUGGAAGUGAGGCUGGAGAGCCAAGGCCAUCUGUUACGGACACCCUCUCCUUCUGGGAGUUAUGCCACCUGUCCCUCCAGCCGUGAAGUCCCCACACAGAGCCAGCAGAGUUCUACACGGAUGGCAGCCCGCCGGAGCCCACGGUGGUGGGGAGCCGCGGCCCAGCUGGCUGCUGUUUCCUCAACGGCGCUGAAGCUCUGUGGACUGAGGGCAGCCUGCCCACCUCGCUCUGUGCCCGGCCGAGCCCCUGACACCCAGCUCAGACGUCUCCUCUUCCGAACGGCCUUCCCCGAUCUCACCACAUCCCAGGAUGGAUCAGGAGCCCAUCCAGGCUCCUCCUGCCCACCGCAGCACCCAUCCUGACCAGCCAUGAGGGGAGAGCUGCUCUUCCUGCCCCCUCCCCCCGACACACCCGUGGGGGUGCCAGUCCAGAGGCCAUGAUGCAUACAUGAGCCCAGGUUGGACAAGCAUUGGAGAAAAGGGAGCACGGACGGUGGGAACGAGAAGGGCUCAUGUGAGCCUGGGGACACACCAGGUGCCCAAAACAGGCAGAGGUGCCUGGGCAGGCCCUGCUGAGAAAGCUGUGGUGUCAGCUACCAGGAGUCCCUUUGCCUUCAGUGUCGUGGGAUGUGACACUUGCUGGCAGGGAGGGGACCAGGCAUUUGCUAAGGAAGCCCCCAGGAGUGGCAAUGUCUGAGCCGGCGCUGGUGGCCGGGACCCGGGAGGCCUGAACAGGGCCGUGUCCAGGAGCCGCAAAAGACCGGGAUUCCUCUACCAGCCUUCGCAUACAGGUUUCCAUGUGAUGAGGGUCUCGGCUUUUUUUCUUCCAGAUGGGAAUAGAAAAUAAGGGACACCUGCAUGGCUCAGUGGUUGAGCAUCUGCCUUUGGCUCAGAGCAUGAUCCCGGAGUCCUAGGAUCGAGUCCCACAUUGGGCUCCCUGCAGGGAGCCUACUUCUCCCUCUGCCUACGUCUCUGCCUCUCUCUGUGUGUCUCUCAUGAAUAAAUAAAAUCUUUUUUUUAAAAAAAAGGAAUAG
rnacentral:lncRNA from 12 species